AGUAAGUGGGAUCACGCAGCAUUAGUGUGAGAAGGAAGAAAAGACCCAGGAAGGAAAACCAGACUUGCUCUGAGAGGAGGCCUAAAGAGGAGAGGAAAGGAACACGGGCAACUUCUGGGCCAGGGAAGGGGUGGGGGCAGAGUCUACUGGAGGCUGCACACCCACCCCACUCACACCUACUCUAGAAAUCCCAAAUACACUGGCGAACGAACGGAGCUGGAUCAGGACAUGAAUAAGGAGGAAACUGUGAUCACAAACCCCGAGAAAAGGAAGAAUAGCACAGCUGUGAUGUCACCCGCAGAACUUGUGGCAGAGCCUUGGGGGUGCAGCUGCUCUGAGUCUAUAGGCUGGAAUCCUGAGCCGCGGCCUGGCCUGGCCUGCCUCCUACCAUGGGCUCCAGGCUGCUCUGCUGUGUGGCCCUCUGCCUCCUGGGAGCAGGCCCCUUGCACUCAGGUGUUUCCCAGACUCCAAAAUAUCUCCUUGCACAAACAGGAAAGAAGCAGUCCUUUAAAUGUCGAUUCUCACCUGAAUCUCCAGACAACGCUCAUUUAAACCUUCAUGUCAAGUCCCUGGAGCCAGAGGAUUCUGCCUUGUAUCUCUGUGCCAGCAGCCAAGACACAGCCCUGCAGAGUCACCAGCUGCCUGUGCACAAACCUGCCAGGCAGCCAGGAAGCUGUGGUGACAAUGAGUUCCCUGUGCCUGAGGCUCUGCUCUCCAUUCCUAUGGGCCCCGUGGAGUGUCAGUGUGCAGCAGCCUCCAGG